AUGGCGGAACGAGAGGGGUGCCAUAGCGACGAAUCCGAAAAUGAUGCCAAGGCACAUAUCGGUUCCGGUAGCACAAGGUGGUCUUCGAGGGACUUGGCGCGGGUCCAUGGGAGUGAGGCAGGGGCGCGCCGGUCCAAGCAAUCUAACCAAAGGGCAAGGUCGAUGGAGGUGCGGGAACAGUGGGCGACUGCGGAGGAAGGCGGUGGCUUGGCGGCUGAUCUAGAGCAGGGAAGCAGAGGCCGACGGACGACGGGGAUGGCCUCUGCGACGAACACCACGGGCGGCGGUGCUGCAAUUCUCCAUGGCCUCGACGUGGUUCCUCAUCUGAGGCAGCAACGGCGAGGGUGA
rnacentral:rRNA from 1 species